rnacentral:rRNA from 1 species
UACGGGGGGGGCAAGCGUUGUUCGGAAUUACUGGGCGUAAAGGGCUCGUAGGCGGCCAACUAAGUCGGAUGUGAAAUCCCCAGGCUCAACCUGGGAACUGCAUCCGAUACUGGAUGGCUUGAAUUCGGGAGAGGGAUGCAGAAUUCCAGGUGUAGCGGUGAAAUGCGUAGAGAUGCGGAGGAACACCGAUGGCGAAGGCAGCCCCCUGGGCCAAUACUGACGCUCAGGCACGAAAGCGUGGGGAGCAAACAGG